UAGGUUGAUUGGCCGCACUGACCUUGCAGCUGGUCUUCUUGGCGAGGGGGAGAGGAGGAAGAAUCCAGCCCGAGGAGCUCAGCCUGCCUGCUUCCCCCCCCCACAAGCAGGGAGGGGGGGCUACCCCGCGCAUCCUACAGCGCCCCAAGCCAGAAAGAGAAUGCAGGAGUCUCAAGGGGAAAGCCACUCCAGGUUAUGUCCAUGCCAACAGCAGCCCAGGCUUGGAAAGUUCUUCAUGCCAGUCCAGGAUGUGCGGUGGAAAUGAUAGUCUACUUAGACUCCACUGAAUUUAUCAACAUGUUGAGUAAGUGAAUCACAUUUGCACUUCUCAGGAAAUUGCUUUGGUCCGUCCAUGCUGUGGAAAAAUACAUCUUCAGGGUGUUCAGUUAAAGGUUUUAAGAAAGUCCUGACUAACACAAACAUGCCCAGGCACAGAUAAUCAUCACACGUC